GUUUAUUAUAAAAUCAUUUUAAACUUGAAGCCAGUCAGCACUGAAAUUACAUGAGUUGCACACAGCUACAAACAGCAACAUAUACACAUCACUAUUUAAUCCCUUAUACAAUCUGAGUAUGAAAGCACAAAAUACAUUUCUUCACAUAACAAGGAAAAAUAUAUUUGACCUCUGAUUAUAAUGUCUCAAUAACAAGUUGAAGUUCAACAUUAUUUUCCAGGUGGUGAAUUAUUCUGAAAACAGGGUAAAGAACCAAGAAAAUACACAUUACUACCCCUUGUUUAUUUAAUUAUAGACAGUCAAUUUGGAGCAAUGUUGGUAAACAACUGAAGCUAGAAAGAAUUUUCACAAAAGCUCUCUCUAUAUGUUUAACAAGUGCUCUUAUUUAGGUUCUAAAUUCAAAUUAUGCAGAACAGUAAAUCAGACUUUAUUUUUAAGUCUGCAAGUGAGAAAAUUGAGACCAUUUGUCUUAACACAGAAACAUCUAUAUAUGU